GUUUUAUUGAGGAGAAAAAACAGAAAAGAACGCAUAAUGUUGCGCCUGCGCUGUGACGUUCUUUAUUCAACCGCAUUUCCAGUCGAGAGGUCAAGAAUGUUCCUGUCUGCAUCAGCUAUCCACUGCCACUCGCAAAGGAGAUUGUGUUGUUGGAUUAUGGUAUCAUUUGGUUAAAAUGAGGCACAUGUACUGUAAGGAUGCUUUUACAUACUUCAUUUAUGUGUAUGAAAUUACUUACUUGACAAUGUGUAUAACUGUACUUGACUCUAACUUAGUGCUAUUUUUGCAUUGAUCAUGAUAGGAGCAUUUUUCUUUUUUUCUUUUUUUUUGAUGGGCAAUCACACAGUGGAUUUAUAAAAAUGAGACUACAGAACAUCAGACGGAAGCUUCAACACGUGAGAGGACAUCAUCAAUAAAGAAUGCCAUUGACCAAACCUUCAGUCAUCAAAGGAGAUGGAUACAGGUGGACAUCGAGUUUUCCAGACUUACCGAUAGGAAAGAAGACAUGUUUAUCAGGAAAUGGGAGGUGACAAUUAUUGAGAAACUCAGGGAAAUAGCAUCUUUAGAGAAGAAAAUGGACAUCAGACAUUCAUUGACGAAAGCUGACAGUCAACAUAAUGAUGAGCUGUUUUAUACUCGUUCAUCUUCUGCUGUGUGAAUUCUGCUGUCUCAGACCUGAGGGACUUGGUGGCGGCUGGUACCAGCGUGUCCUCUGCUUACUAAAUGAUGAAAAGGUGUCUAAAAUCAGCUCAGCCACAGUUGGUUUCCAGCGGUUCUUCAGGACAUAGAGGCCACUAUGUAAUUGUCGCAAUGAAUGAUUCUCUUGCCUUUCCACUUGAUGUUGACAAUCUGACCUGUGCGGUAGACAGACUUUUCAAAUUUACUAGCUAAGUAACCUUAAGUAUCCUUGCCAACUGUCUUCAGUUUUUUUUGGAUGAAUAUGAUCUACCCUUGUCCCAGUCCUCUUGAAAACGAUCCAAGGCAAUGGAGUUUCAAAAUGGACCGCAAAAGUGCAGUCUGUUUUAAACAAUGCAUGCACUGUGUGGCGGUUUCCCGGACAGGGAUUAGACUAGUCCUAGAAUAAAACAUUUUAAAGAGCUGUCCAAACUGAAAACAACUUGCACUGACAUAUCUUAAAAUACAUCAGUGCCCUUUGUUUUGCCUCAAAAUGCACACAGGUAAUGUUUUUAGUAAGGCAUGUUUGUUAAAACCAGAAAUAUUUCCUAAUUAAUCUAAGGCCUAGUCCUGGAUUAAGAUAUCCCUGUCCGGGAAACAACCCCUAAAUAUUUUGUGAUGGAAAUUUCAUUGAAUACACUUGUCAAGUUCAUUUGAAGUAUUUUUCUUAAUGUAAAAUAACGUGUUAAUGUUUCAGGACAAGGUAAGAAUUUUUGAUAACUUGCAUGUUGAAAACGAUUUCAGACAUUGUUUCAACAUGUUUAACACAUGUGCUUUUAAAUUCAAUGAAUUAAUUUAUAA